CACGUAGGGCGCAAGCGUUGUCCGGAAUUAUUGGGCGUAAAGAGCUCGUAGGCGGUCUGCCACGUCCGCUGUGAAAACCUAGGGCUUAACCCUGGGCUUGCAGUAGAUACGGGCAGACUAGAGGUAGGUAGGGGAGAAUGGAAUUCCCGGUGUAGCGGUGAAAUGCGCAGAUAUCAGGAGGAACACCGGUGGCGAAGGCGGGUCUCUGGGCCGAUACUGACGCUGAGGAGCGAAAGCGUGGGGAGCGAACAGG
rnacentral:rRNA from 1 species